AUAGUUUGUGAUAAGGAAACGAAUUUCUUGAUAAAGUAGAUUAUAGUGCGGUCGUCUGAAUAUAGUCCAAAUAAACACGACGAGAGAAAGCUGAUAGUCCACGGAGGAAUACAUGAUGUAAUUGCUAGAGAUUCAAGCCAACAAAGGUUAUCCAAGAGUAUGACGAGAGAAAGCCAGAAGUCCACGAAGGAAUACAUGACUUGAUUUAAUUCUGACGAAGAUUAUCCAAGAGCCGACACUUUUUUAUGAGUAUCAUGGAGAUAAGCGAGCAA
rnacentral:lncRNA from 1 species